rnacentral:rRNA from 1 species
AUUGAACGCUGGCGGCAGGCCUAACACAUGCAAGUCGAGCGAGGGGCGGACGGGUGAGUAAUGUCUGGGAAUCUGCCCGAUGGAGGGGGAUAACUACUGGAAACGGUAGCUAAUACCGCAUACUAUCGGAUGUACCCAUAUGGGAUUAGCUAGUAGGUGGGGUAAAGGCUCACCUAGGCGACGAUCUCUAGCUGGUCUGAGAGGAUGACCAGCCACACUGGGACUGAGACACGGCCCAGACUCCUACGGGAGGCAGCAGUGGGGAAUAUUGCACAAUGGGCGAAAGCCUGAUGCAGCCAUGCCGCGUGUAUGAAGAAGGCCUUCGGGUUGUAAAGUACUUUCAGCGGGGAGGCGUUACCCGAAGAGGAAGCACCGGCUAACUCCGUGCCAGCAGCCGCGGUAAUAC